CACUUGUUCCCUAAAUAGGGACUUGUAUGAAUGGCCACACGAGGGUUUUACUGUCUCUUACUUCCAAUCAGUGAAAUUGACCUUCCCGUGAAGAGGCGGGAAUGACUAAAUAAGACGAGAAGACCCUAUGGAGCUUUAAUUAACUGAUUCACAAAAAACAACACACAAACCUAACCUUCAGGGACAACAAAACUUUUGAUUGAAUCAGCAAUUUCGGUUGGGGUGACCUCGGAGAACAAAACAACCUCCGAGUGAUUUAAAUCCAGACUAACCAGUCAAAAUAAAUAAUCACUUAUUGAUCCAAACCAUUGAUCAACGGAACAAGUUACCCUAGGGAUAACAGCGCAAUCCUAUUCCAGAGUCCAUAUCGACAAUUAGGGUUUACGACCUCGAUGUUGGAUCAAGACAUCCUAAUGGUGCAACCGCUAUUAAGGGUUCGUUUGUUCAACGAUUAAAGUCUU
rnacentral:rRNA from 1 species